CACGGGGGUUGCGAGCGUUGUCCGGAAUUACUAGGCGUAAAGGGCAGGCAGGCGGAUCCAUAAGUUUAUCGUUUAAGGCGUCGGCUUAACCGGCGUAGGGCGGUAGAUACUGUGGAUCUGGAAUGCGGUUGGGGAAGACAGAAUUCCUGGUGUAGCGGUGGAAUGCGCAGAGAUCAGGAGGAAUACCGAAGGCGAAGGCAGUCUUCCAAGCCGUUAUUGACGCUCAACUGCGAAGGUGUGGGUAUCAAACAGGAUUAGAUACCCGAGUCCCUGAG
rnacentral:rRNA from 1 species